GUGCUUUGCUCUUACGUAACUUCUGACUAUAACUAUGUUUUUAUCUAUAAAUAUUUCAUCGUACUUAGUCAUUUAUUGAUUGUUCAUUCGUAUCGUGAUUAAUUCAGGAGCACGUGCUUGAAAUUAUAAUGCAGUAUUCGUUGCUGUUUCAUUACGUCUAUAAUUAAUUCAAUGCCGAGGCGAGAAUGAAAAGCUUCAUCAGGUUGGAGUCGCAGUUGAUCCGCUGAUAAAGGAAAGCUUGUGAAGUACCGUUAACCAGAGCCACCAUCGAAACCUUUAUCUUUUUCUCCCCUACUACGCAUGCAAUGAGCAUAACUUGAACGAACGUCAUCAGAAGAGAGGCUCGAGCUUAGAAAGUUGUGCGCAACUCGCAGCGAAACCAGAUUCGUGGGAGGAAGUGGCGAAGGGGGAGUAGUAGUCAGCGAUGUUGGGUCAACGUGAUUACGUUUCUGCGCACACCAACAUGGCUUCUGCGCAUACUAGUAGGAGUUGCCAACCAAAGGACGAGAAGUCCAUGGUAGGGAUGAAAUCAAUAGUCAAGUAUUCUGUGGAAUGAGAAUAUCAACUGGAUAUGUAUAUUUAGCUAUUCAAUUGCUUGCUUGAGCUUUAUUCACCGGAAAGGACGCGGUAGAAAUAGUCAGAGGCGAAUCCCCAUUACGGUGUAAUGUUUUCUUUCUUUCUAUUUUCUUAUAAUGAUAUUCGAUCUCGACGUUGUGACCAAAAAGGAUGCUGGCCUCUGUGACUAUAAAUAUGAAUUUUUAUAUGCAAAAUGUUUCACGGAUUCGAUGUCAUGUUAUCGAAUAAAUAUAAAAAUUCGUUGCAAAUUAUACAUACAGUUGUGGCUAUGAAAUUGUAAAUUCAGGAAAUAUGGCUUGGGUGGGGUGAUAUUCGAUGAUUUUAUUGUAAUACGAGUCGGUUGCGGUAUUCUGUUUGAUCUAAAUAUAGAAUUUCAAGCAAA